rnacentral:rRNA from 1 species
UUUAUUGGAGAGUUUGAUCCUGGCUCAGGACGAACGCUGGCGGCAUGCCUAAUACAUGCAAGUCGAGCGGACUUGAAGAGAAGCUUGCUUCUCUGAUGGUUAGCGGCGGACGGGUGAGUAACACGUAGGCAACCUGCCCUCAAGUUUGGGACAACUACCGGAAACGGUAGCUAAUACCGAAUAAUUGUUUUCUUCGCCUGAAGGAAACUGGAAAGACGGAGCAAUCUGUCACUUGGGGAUGGGCCUGCGGCGCAUUAGCUAGUUGGUGAGGUAACGGCUCACCAAGGCGACGAUGCGUAGCCGACCUGAGAGGGUGAUCGGCCACACUGGGA